rnacentral:rRNA from 1 species
GAUGAACGCUGGCGGCGUGCCUAAUACAUGCAAGUCGAGCGAACGGACGAGAAGCUUGCUUCUCUGAUGUUAGCGGCGGACGGGUGAGUAACACGUGGAUAACCUACCUAUAAGACUGGGAUAACUUCGGGAAACCGGAGCUAAUACCGGAUAAUAUUUUGAACCGCAUGGUUCAAAAGUGAAAGACGGUCUUGCUGUCACUUAUAGAUGGAUCCGCGCUGCAUUAGCUAGUUGGUAAGGUAACGGCUUACCAAGGCAACGAUGCAUAGCCGACCUGAGAGAGGGAAUGCCCACAUGGGAACAGAGGCAGGGCCCGGACAGUUGGGGGAGGAAACAGGAGAGAUUCUUACGCAAGGGGGGGAAGAAGGACGGUGCAAGGUGGGGGAAGGAAUGAAGUUAUUAGGAGCGGGAAACUAUGUAAUGAGGGAAAAAGUAAAGGUUAAGUAACUGGGAGCAUCUUGACGUUACCGAAUAAAAAGGCCAGGGCUAGCUAGGUG